rnacentral:ncRNA from 1 species
UAGCCGGGUAUGGGAGAAUAGGGAAGUUGAGUGAAAAGCUCACACGGUCACGCCGCUGUAUGGGAGGAGCUGUAUUUUACAAUGCCACCGGGAAACCGGGAAGGCAAAAUGCAGUGUUGAGACCUGAGUCAGAAGACCUGCCUUGUGCA